AAAUCUAAAAACAGUUUUGUAAUGUUAUGGUGACUUAUGUCAGAUCUUCACUUCACUUGUAUCGCUUUUCUCUGACUUAUUUUAAGCUGUUAAAUAAUCAUUUCUUCCAACAUUUGGGUUUCAUUUGGUGUCUUAUUGUACUUGACACCCCCUUUCACUAGCGUUAGCUUAAUCGUGAUAUAAAUAAAUACCAUAAUCAUUUAUGGUUUAAAGUUUUUAUUAAUUGUAUUUGUCUAUGAAGUACAGCAAUCAAGCCCUCCUGGGGUGGUCCUUCUAAUGCGACUCAGUGUUGCUAAUUACAGAUUACAAAUGGUAAUUAUUGCUUAAGGAGCAUAUUAGCAUUUGAUUAAAAUUCCAACAAAUAGUUUUAAUCCACAUUCAAAUCAAUAACACACUAUAACAAACCAAAGCAUGUUUCCCACAGAACAGUUGAAUUUGUUCUAUCCUGCUGUACAUGGCUGAUAGUAGCCAUACUUUUACAUAGAUACACUAAAUCUCAGAAUCUUCAGGAAAAAUUGAAGGCGAAAAAAGAGCAUGAAAGACCCUUAAAAAACUAUUCUAAAGGUGUUUGAGUCAAGCAUCAAGCUUUAAUGACUUCAAUGUACUCAUUUAUUGGCUAGUACUGUCAUACCAGGCAUCUCCAAUUCCUGUGGCUGAAGCAGGCUGCGGCUAGAAAACAGAAUAUGUGAUUAUUUGAACUGGACAUGGGCAGUAAAGGAAUACUGGCCACAUCAUUAAAGGCAUCAGCUCCAUAUGCCAUUCUUCUGCUGCACACAAUAUAACUAGCUAUUCAUUGAACAUUCAGCUUUUGUCUGACUGAAUGCUUUAUGAGAUGCAUGAUUCAACAUCUAGAGUGAAAAUGACCGUAUCAUGUUUCACUUAACCAAGACCUAACCCACAUUAUAAUACAGUCUGAGUCAAGUACAUUUAGUAGUCUCACUGCCAUUUAUAUCUAAUUGCAGUCAGUGGAAGAACAUGAUUCUGAGUUUUUAACCUGUCUGUGUCUGUUUGCAGGUGCGUGCAUGGGCAGCCACACACAUACUGUGGAUUAGUGUAUUAUCAACAGGACCAGGAUCAUUAAGAGGAAAGGCCUGCUCACUGCAGACUCAUCAGUUAUCCAUGUUAGCUCAAUAGAAAAGCUGAAGACAGCUGAAAGGAAUUGUUUGGCUCACGUGCUCACAUCUCCAUCUACUUAACUGAAAGAUUGGUUCAGGGCAGUUCACUGUGUUGCUGCCAGUGCUCUCCUGCUUGUAAUUAAAGUGUUUUAUUUUGUAGGAUGGAUGAGAUAUCAAGCAAAGUGAUCCUACGCUACAACAAAACACAUUAUUGGCUUCUCAUCCAAUGUUUGACAUACAUCCAGAUUACUCAUAGACGUGUCUAUAUGUCAGAAAACUCUUAAGGUUACAGAAGUUAUAUGAAAUCUUCUUCUCUAGAAGUCAAUGUUGCCAUAAAUCACCACACACCACUGAAGGCUGAUUAUCACUUUCUCAUUAUUAGAGGCCAAGAGCUCGCAACAGAAGGCUUUAUCAUCUACAUCACCUUCAUCAUCACUCUUACAAGUGACGCCAUGGUCAUAUCACUGUGUCUCAGAUGAAUAAAUGUCCAUGCAAGCAGCAUACAAGGACUUGGACUCUCUGUGUAGUGGGAUGAAGUUAAUCCAGUUAUAACAUCCCCUUUGUAAUUUUCUUGCUCAAAGUAAAAUUUCAUCAGCCCUGUUUGCAGAUAAAAGGUCAUUCUAUGACCUCUUAUGUGUGUGUACAUGUGCGCUACAGAGAGUCAGAUGGAGAGAGGUAUUCAUCUGUGUAAUUUUUGUCUCUGUGUGUUUGUUUAUGUGAAAGUGGGCACAGUGUUAACCAGGGGGGUGGAACAGGCCAGCACUGAAACAAGGGCCAGAGGGGAAGACGUAAUGAGUUAUUAUACACACAGCACAGCAUCUAAAAAGAGAAGAGGCUGUUAAGCGCUGCCUGUUCGCUGCUGCAUGUGGGUGAUAGCAUUCACUGAAGCCUGACCUAUUUGAUGGGGAGAACAUAUCCUGACAUGGCUACAGUGCAGGAACAUCCACAUGUCACAAAAGAGAACAAGUCUUUAAAACCUGGAAGGCUUCAGACUCACUGUCAGCUCUAUAUUUACCAAGGUCACUGCUUUGAAAGAGUGAAUCUAGAGGCUGUAAAUCACCAUGCACAAACAACACAUAUCAAACUACAAAGAUAUAAACUCAGAUGGGGGUGACAAGGGAUCCACAGUUGAAUUAUAAACGUAUCCACGAGGCAUUGUGGGGUUGCAUUAUGCAAUCACCAGCAUACAGAUUUUCAAGUCAAGGGACAUGGUUGGCCAGAGGGAGGCGCGGUGCAUCCUUCGUCCUUCAUUUGAAUAUAACAAUUAAUGGGGAAGUUUGACUAAACCCUGGUAAAGCACAGUGGACAGAGCCGGGACGCAAAGACCGUCAACAACCAAGCAGAGCAUUUAGCUACCAAGCAGUAAUCUUGCAGAAGUCACUGCAUGUGCUCCAACUUCACCACAGAGGUGAGAUAAAUCUUCAAUAGAUGAGGCUAUUGCUUGCCGUCUAACAAGCGUGCUGCACACAGUGUGGCAUAAAAUUUACAGUGCUGCCUGCAUAGGCAUUCUACAAGGUUCGUUGGGAGAAACCCCCUUUCAUCAUCACACUGUGCGUCUCCUUCUUGGCGCUCUGAACUGAUCAUCAGUGGAAGUGCUCCUGAGCUGCAGCAGCCCAACUGUGACAUCCUUCCACUAUUCAGUGUGUGCUCAGGCUGGCUGGCUGCUGCACAGGCACCAUGGAGCAAAAAUCACCUAAGGAUGAGAGCACCGCCAAGGGACAAGAGUCUCUGUCCUACCAGCGGAGGAUGUGGAAGAAUUUCCAGGAGAAAACCAAGCCUUGGCUUAGUCCUAAACUGGGAUCGGAGCGUCGGGGUGCCGGGGGCGCCGAGGGCAGCAAAAAGGAAUCGGGGUUAUGGAUGUUUAAGAGGAAAAAGAAACAGUUGGACCGGGUGUUUUCGUCGUCUCAGCCGAAUCUGUGCUGCUCUACGCCGGCGCCUUUUGAAGGAGAAAAGAAGUCCCUUGGAAUCGACGCGGUUCCCGGCACCAGCAGCGACGGGCAGCCUCUGCUACAACCCCUUGGCGCAGCUUCUGGAGCCACGGGGAGCAAACCCGAGCUGACGGCGCACGGAAGCCCCAAACUCCCCGUAUCCCAGCUGAUCGUGUACCAGCAGAAGAGCUCCUCUCUCGGCUCGGCGUGCUUCGAGAAACUGGUGGUGGACCCAGCCGCGGUGGUGGGAGAGGAGGAGCAGCUGCGUAAAAACGCAAGUGAUUCUGGCAUCAACAUAGUGGGACCCAGUAAUGCAGAGCCCCUGCCUCGACCUCCUAGUCCAGCCAUGUACCAGCUGGAUAUCGUCCUAAAGAAAGGGAAUAACCUGGCCAUCCGAGAUCGGACAGGGACCAGUGACCCAUAUGUGAAGUUUAAGAUAGCAGGGAAGGAGGUGUUCAGGAGUAAGACCAUCCAUAAGAACCUGAACCCGGUGUGGGACGAGAGAGUAAGCCUUCUGGUGGAAACCCUGAGGGACCCACUAUAUGUCAAGGUUUUUGACUAUGACUUUGGACUUCAGGAUGAUUUCAUGGGCUCAGCAUACCUCCACCUGGAGUCACUGGAACAUCAGAGGACAUUGGAUGUGACGCUGGACCUGAAAGACCCACAGUACCCUGAACAUAACCUGGGCAGCCUGGAACUAGCUGUCAUUCUGUCACCGAAGGAGGGAGACAUGAGGGAUGCUACCAUGCUUUUGAGAAGGAACUGGAAACGAUCUAGUAAGUAUCAGAGUAUGCGUCUGUCAGAUGUGCACAGAAAAGCCCAGCUGUGGCGAGGUAUAGUCAGCAUCAGCCUGAUAGAAGGUCGCAGCCUCCAGCCCAUGGAUGCCAACGGCCUCAGUGACCCUUAUGUUAAAUUCAGGAUGGGGCACCAGAAGUACAAGAGCAAGACAAUUCCUAAAACGCUGAACCCCCAGUGGAGAGAGCAGUUUGACUUCCACCUGUAUGAUGAGCAGGGAGGCUUCGUGGACAUUACAGUCUGGGACAAAGAUGCUGGCAAGAAGGAUGACUUCAUGGGAAGGUGUACCAUCAACCUGUCGCUUCUCAGUAAAGAACACACACACAAACUGGACCUGCCACUGGAGGAAGGUGAAGGUGUGCUGGUACUGCUGGUUACACUCACAGCUUCUGCCGCUGUUUCCAUCUCAGACCUGUCAGUCAACAUGCUGGACGACCCGCAAGAGAGAUACCAGAUCAUGCAGAGAUAUAGCCUGUUGAGGUCAUUCCACAACCUGAAAGAUGUCGGUGUGGUGCAGGUAAAGGUCAUCAGGGCUGAGGGACUGAUGGCAGCAGAUGUUACAGGUAAGAGUGACCCAUUCUGUGUGGUGGAGCUGAGUAACGAUCGGCUGCAAACGCACACUGUCUACAAAAACCUCAACCCAGAGUGGAACAAGGUCUUCACUUUUAACGUGAAGGACAUCCACUCGGUACUCGAGGUCACUGUUUACGAUGAGGAUCGAGACAGAAGUGCAGACUUCCUUGGGAAAGUGGCGAUUCCUUUACUAAAUAUCCAAAAUGGAGAACGCAAAGCCUACGCCUUGAAAAGCAAGGAGCUGACAGGGCCAACAAAAGGGGUCAUCUUUCUCGAAAUAGACGUGAUUUUUAAUGCUGUGAAGGCUGGUCUCAGGACGUUGAUUCCUAUUGAGCAGAAGUAUAUUGAGGAGGAGCCCAGAGUGUCCAAACAGUUGCUGUUGAGCAACUUCAACAGAGUUAGGCGCUGCAUUAUGUUCCUGAUCAACACAGGCUGCUACAUCAACAGCUGCUUCGAAUGGGACUCUCCACAGAGGAGCAUCUGUGCUUUUGUGCUUUUUGUGAUCGUUGUUUGGAACUUUGAACUCUAUAUGAUUCCACUGGCUUUGCUGCUGCCUUUGGCCUGGAACUACAUCCUCAUCGCAUCGGGGAAGGAUACCAGGCAAGAUGUGCAAGCAAUGGAGGACCUGCUGGAGGACGAGGAUGAGGAUUUUGACAAAGAUGACAAGGACCCUAAACCAGGCCCCUGGGAGGACAGCCGUGAUAAAAACCAUAUCCUUGAGGAUAUGUUGGCUUCCUGGCACUUUGAGUGGAUACGAGCGAUGGUGGACUCGGAGAGAAAGGGCUUCAUGAACAAGCUCUAUGCCAUUCAGGACGUGUGCAUCAGCGUGCAGAAUGCACUGGAUGAAGUGGCCUCCUAUGGCGAGAGGAUAAAGAACACAUUCAACUGGACUGUGCCUUUCUUAAGCUGGCUGGCCAUUGUGGCUCUCGGAGUGGCCACCACCAUCAUCUACUUCAUCCCUCUAAGAUACAUUGUAUUAGCCUGGGGGGUGAAUAAAUUCACAAAGAAGCUGCGAGACCCUUACACCAUUGAUAACAACGAGCUGCUAGACUUUCUGUCCAGAGUGCCCUCAGAUGUACAAGUGGCGUUUGGCCGUAUAAUGGGACCAAUAACAGCCAGUGAUCCUGUACAGUACCUGUUCUACUUUUGGAUCCUUGCUUGAAUCUUGCAGCAAACAAUGAGUCAGAAUGAAUUGCAUAUGGAGAAACAUUUUGAUAAAGGUGCAGUACCGAGAGCUGAAACUGGAUCCCAAUCCCAGUCCAAAUAAAAGGAAGAAAAACAACCCCGGGUAGAUGACUGUGUCCGCCCACCAACUCCUCUCUUCUCCGCUUUUCUUCUCGACACACUGGACACAGAGGAGCAGAGGAAGACGGCUCUGGACCAGCUCGGCUCAACUAUCCUUCCUUUUUUUAUUUCCUUUCUUCUCUUAAGUCUUUAAUUACUCAUGAUGUACAGUACAGUUUCCUGAAGUGUAAUUUUUGUAUGAAAAAAGACAAGUACAAGAAAUCUCUUGAAUUAUUCUUAUCACCGUUAUGCUUUUGAUUGAUUUUAAAGUGGGAAGGAUGGAUGGAAUGACCUUUUUCUCAGCCGUGUGAGCCACUCCUUUCCUGCCUCCUUUCUUCUCUCCACCACUCUGUCCAAUUGCUUGCCACAAGUGUCACACAAUGAGUAAAACAAGUUUUAAUAUUUAUACUCAACGUCCCAAAAACACAUUCUCAGUGCAUCCAUGUUUAUCAAAAUACAAGCCUUAUACUAACAUUCUGCAUUAUCACUCUGCAAUAGACUUUAAGUUAAUUUUUAGUUCAUAUUGUAGUUAUUAAAUGAUUUUGGUAAUAUGUUCAUAUUUUCUAAUUGUUUUUGUACUGAAGUAUCAUUUGUUUUCUUCCCCUCUUGGAUGUGGUAAUGAUGUUCUGUUCACUGGCAGUAAUUUGGAUAGUUUCCACUUAACUCAGCCAGCCAAGUUGAUUAGCAAUUAUGGUGGUAGCCUCCAGAUAUGUCCUUCUACACAAACACAAAACUGGACCAACAGGCUGAAGGCUUGUGGUGGUAUCUGUCUGGGCUUUAAUGUAAUGGCCAAAUUAGCUUUUCAAGUUGAUUAGAUUUGACUCCAAAACAAAAAAUCAAACCACAGUAGUAUUAUUUUAAGUACAGUGAAUCAGUUCUUCUUAAAAUAGAUUGUGAUUAUAUAAUCAUUAAAUAAUACCCAGAGGAAAAAAGAACAACACUGUUGAGUAUUAGACAGUUGGUGUUGCCCCAACCCUUUAUCACGACUAAAUGCCCAGUUAAUUUAGCUGUAGCCUCGUUUAACCCCUUUAAAACUUGUCAAAAUUCAGUCAGUCAGUGAGACACCUUCUCUGUCUGUCAGCAGGCACAGCAGACUGGGCCUUCUGCUGUCGUGGUGUUAAUAUAGAUGUCAUCCAGUCUAUGCAGAGUGUCGCCAGGCAGGCAGGCCUUUAGGCAGCCACAGCCCUAAUCUUGUUUGAAAGGCUGGUCUCCUUUCCUCUCAUCUCCCUGUGUGUUUGCGUCUUCAGCCACACACGAAAGCAUUCUCACACACACACCAUCCUCUCACGUGGAUACACUGCUUCUUUAAGAGAUCUUGCGUACACAUACUGUACCUACUUGCUCACAGAUGAAAGCCUAACAUCCCAUUUGAGCAGGCACAUUCUCUCCCUCUCAGACACACAUACUCACACAAACAUGCUCUCUGUGAUGCCGUGCCCCAGGCUGGCCGCCCUCUCCAUCUGCCCCACCUCCUGUGCCCACAGCUCAACUUUGAUCUGCCUUUCCAGAGACAGAGGCUUGUGUAUGUGAACUGUGUACGUAAGAGUGUUUGCAUAUACACGUUUAUGCAAUCAAAGGCAUGUUGCUUUUCUCAGCGUUGGUGUGUGUUACAAUUGAAUCUCCCUUCCAGCUGUAGACCGAUGCGUAGAUUCAGUUGGUGUGUGUGUGUGUGUCAGCGUGUAAAAGCGUGUGUGUGUGUGUGUGUGUGUGUGUGUGUGUGUGUGUGUGUGUGUGUGUGUGUGUGUGUGUAUGUGUGUGUGUGAACGUGUCUGUGUUUACAAGUCGAGGUGGACUAGCUGUGCUUACUAACACGGUGGGCUGUAUUGAGAGGAUGCCAUCAGCAAUUACGCCCACAGGGCCGAGUGGUGACAGCUUAAAGGCUCUUUUCUUUAUUUCUCCACCCCCUUUGCUCACUGACACGCCUCCUCUGUGUGUGUGUGUGUGUGCGUGUAUAUGUGCCAGGUCUGAACUGCACAGUAUAAGGCUUCGGGUCAUUUUCCAUUCCAAUCAGGAGAACCGGCUGCCCUGGCCACCCUGCAAAAUUUAAACACUCCCCCCAGCUGAGGAAGGGGCACAGGGAGCAUCAGCAAACACACACACAAACACACACACUUACAGAUACUUAAUUGCAAGCCAGCAUACACUCAUUACAGCAUUUGAGAUUUGAGAAAAUAUUUGUGCAUGCAUACACUUACACCAAAAUAUAUAGCCAAGCACACACACAGACACACACUUAUGCACAGGGUCAUGUGCAGCGGCCUUGGGCAAUGGGAGGAGGAGGGAAGGAGAGCAGAGUCAGCCUUGCCCUCAGCCAUGGCAUCCUUUCCUUGCCAGCUCCAUAAGCCUGGAGGGACUGAGGUAGAGGGGGUAGGGGGUGGGAUCCAUCCAUUCCUCCCCCAUACAAUUCACCCCUAAAAACGUGCGCACACACGCACAUACACAUACAGAGCCCAGGCCUCCAAGCAGACAGGCUUACAAAGGGGUGAGAUCACUCCCAAAUAAAGGCUUUGUUGGUGUGCCAGUGUCAGUGUUGCCCUCUCUGGCCUACCAAAACCUUGGCAGCUAGGAUCACCCUGUUGGUUGGAAACAACUAGGACAGCAGGGUGAAUGCCUCAAUGAAAAAUAUAGUUUCAGGAGACGUAGCAGGCACAAGAAUAAAACACAGGAAUAUAAUAAAUAAAGAGACGGUGCAAGUCUCCCAAAAUUUAAAAAAGUAGUCUGAUGUAUGGGUGUUAGAAAUGCAGCCACAAGCACAAAAUUCCUGCUUGAGUUUAGAGUAAAAACUGGAAUGAACACAAUAUAAAGAUGGUUACGAGAACUAAGCAUAGUGUAGCCCCAAAGCCAAAACUUUCCACAUUUUAACAGCCUGGACUUAAAGAUUUAAAAAAAGAAGAAGAAAAAAUGCUAAGCCUAUCGAUGGUGUCCAUGGCAACCAGAUGGAGAUCAUGGAAAACAGACCAAGAGAGACAGUGUAGCCUGGAGUCAAGAGGACCACCUCCUCACCAGCUCCCUGCUGUAGCCUUUAGACAACCCGCCAUCAAGGUGUGAGGAAAUAGCAAACAGUCAGGAGAGAGUGAGUGAGAAAAAGUAGUAUAAUGUACAACCCUGCAGGUGUUUCAAAUUGGGAGUAUUCUCAUUCCUGUUGUUCUGCUUGGUCCCUGCGAAGAGAUCUGGCCUAGACAGCAGGCCAGACGUCUGCUGCACACACACACACACACACACACACACACACACACACUCUUCUAAUUUUACAGAUACAGAUAGCUGCUUCUUCCUCUGACCUCUUUUAAUUUGCUCUCCCUGCUGUUCCCGAGGAAGGGAGAGGGGAAAAAAAGGGAGCGCUCUCUUGUUUCCUCUCCGGGACUAAACAAUCCCAAUCUAAUUUAUUUUUUGAGGACAGAAUAUGUACAUGUGUUAAUGGGAAAGUCGAAUCAAAUUAACUAUAAUUAGUC